rnacentral:rRNA from 1 species
UUCCUACGGGACGCAGCAGUGGGGGAUAUUGCACAAUGGGGGAAACCCUGAUGCAGCGACGCCGCGUGAGUGAAGAAGUAUUUCGGUACGUAAAGCUCUAUCAGCAGGGAAGAAUAAUGACGGUACCUGACUAAGAAGCCCCGGCUAACUACGUGCCAGCAGCCGCGGUAAUACGUAGGGGGCAAGCGUUAUCCGGAUUUACUGGGUGUAAAGGGAGCGUAGACGGCAGCGCAAGUCUGGAGUGAAAUGCCGGGGCUCAACCACGGAACUGCUUUGGAAACUGUGCAGCUAGCGUGCGGGAGAGG